rnacentral:lncRNA from 1 species
GCCUUGAUCGUUGACAAAGGUGGAUGCAGAGUGGUGUUAUCACAACCAAAGAAAGAAAGAAAGAAAGGCAGAAAGUAAAAAGAAGAACAGAUUUUAUUCAUUCAUUCUCUGUAAAAUAUUUAUAAUAAGAGUUUUUACAGCAACCUUGGAAGGUCUAGGUAUAAAGCAAAAAAAAUGGAGAAAGGUAAAAGCUUAAGAAGUGGCACCCGAAGCUGGAGUGUUCGUCGUAGGUACAUCAACUGUAGUAGGUUCCCAAAGUUUAUCCAAAAAAUUUAGAUUUAGCUCUGGAUACUUAGCCGCAACCCUGUCCCGAACCAGCUGCUUCCCACCGGCAUAGGCAUCAGCAGAGAACUCGAUCUUCUCAUCCUCGUAUUCCAUUGACACUCAGAAGUCUGUAAUGGCCCUGGAAGCGGCCUCUACUGCCUUCUUAUCUGCCACCUCUAAUUGAACUUCAAGCUCCUUAAUUUUUUCUAACAGUCAAGAAUUCUCCUCGAUAACUCCUCUUAACGUCGCUUCAGCAUCUUCAGCUCUCUUUUCAGCAGUGUUAGCCCUUAUAGAGGUCUCUUCAACCUCCCUCAUGGCUUUGUCCCUAGUGCCUUUGAGUGUCUCGAUGUCGGCUUGGUACUUCCUCACCCCAAUCAAAAGGUCGUGAUAGCUCUCUAUACCUAUUUAGAUAAUGAACGAGCUAUCAAGAAAAAUCUCUUUUUAGUGCACAUGAUAAGUAAAUGUUUAAAGUAAAUAAAUCCAUAGAAAUUCAAACUCACCUGGAUGAAGCUCUCC